GAAGAUUUAAUAUUAUAUUUGUAGACUGUCCUGAAGCACAGAAGAAAAAAUAAAAGAGAUGGAUCCACGUUGGAUGGAAUUGAAAUUCAUAGAUGACACUCAAAUUCAGAUGAGAAAGCUGAAGCUUGAUAAGGUUGUGAUUUGCCCCAAAGUGAUGGCUAGCUGUGUCAAAAUGGAGGAAAAAAUCCAAUUCUUCCCCUUAUCAGUAGCUGAAAGGACAUGUUCCAGUGGGUCACCAAGACUGCUUAUUGGAGAAUGUACAGCCGGGAGUCCACGGAGAGGCAAUGUAAUCUGGGGGUUACGAAGGCAAAUAUGAGUAAGUCAGAUACAGCCUUGACCCUGGCUUUCGUAUGUAAUUGCUGCAUGUCUAUUUUCAUCUCUGAGCCUUGACUUUCCUAUUUCUAAAGUGGAUAUUAUAAUGGUAUCUACUGUAUUCAUCCUGCUGAAAGAAAUACAUGGUGUAAUAUGUGCAAAACAAUUAGCAGAGGGUCCAGGUUAUCGUAAAUUCUAAAUAAAUCUUAGAUUUUAUUUUGUGUUUAAUAUUUUUACUAUUACAAAAGUGGCCCAAGUCAGAGCUUCAUUAUAACUUGGA